rnacentral:rRNA from 1 species
GAUGAACGCUGGCGGCGUGCCUAAUACAUGCAAGUCGAGCGAACGGACGAGAAGCUUGCUUCUCUGAUGUUAGCGGCGGACGGGUGAGUAACACGUGGAUAACCUACCUAUAAGACUGGGAUAACUUCGGGAAACCGGAGCUAAUACCGGAUAAUAUUUUGAACCGCAUGGUUCAAAAGUGAAAGACGGUCUUGCUGUCACUUAUAGAUGGAUCCGCGCUGCAUUAGCUAGUUGGUAAGGUAACGGCUUACCAAGGCAACGAUGCAUAGCCGACCUGAGAGGGUGAUCGGCCACACUGGAACUGAGACACGGUCCAGACUCCUACGGGAGGCAGCAGUAGGGAAUCUUCCGCAAUGGGCGAAAGCCUGACGGAGCAACGCCGCGUGAGUGAUGAAGGCCUUCGGAUCGUAAAACUCUGUUAUUAGGGAAGAACAUAUGUGUAAGUAAAUGUGCACAUCUUGACGGUACCUAAUCAGAAAGCCACGGCUAACUACGUG